rnacentral:rRNA from 1 species
GACGAUCGCUGGCUGCGGGCUUAACACAUGCAAGUCGAGCGGUAAGUCCUUUCGGGGUACACGAGCGGCGAACGGGUGAGUAACACGUUGGUGAUCUGCCCUGCACUUCCGGAUAAGCCUGGGAAAGUGGGUCUAAUACCUAGUAUGACCUCCUAUCGCCUGGUGGGUGGUUGAAAGAUUUAUCGGUGCAGGAGGGGCCCGCGGCCGUUUAGCUUGUUGUUGGGGGCAUGGCCUACCAAGGCCACGACGGGCAGCCGACCUGAGAGGGUGACCGGCGACACUGGGACUGAGACACGGCCCAGCCUACUACGGGAGGCAGCAGUGGGGAAUAUUGCACAAUGGGCGAAAGCCUGAUGCAGCGACGGCGCGUGCGGGAUGACGGCUUUCGGGUUGUAAACCUCUUUCAGCAGGGACGAAGCGCAAGUGACGGUACCUGCAGAAGAAGCACCGGCUAACUACGUG